rnacentral:rRNA from 1 species
CCUACGGGGGGCAGCAGUGGGGGAUAUUGCACAAUGGGGGAAACCCUGAUGCAGCGACGCCGCGUGGGUGAAGAAGUAUUUCGGUAUGUAAAGCCCUAUCAGCAGGGAAGAAAGAAGACGGUACCUGACUAAGAAGCCCCGGCUAACUACGUGCCAGCAGCCGCGGUAAUACGUAGGGGGCGAGCGUUAUCCGGAUUCACUGGGUGUAAAGGGAGCGUAGACGGCCGUGCAAGCCAGGAGUGAAAGCCCGGGGCCCAACCCCGGGACUGCUCUUGGAACUGGGCGGCUGGAGUGCGGGAGGGGCAGGCGGAAUUCCUGGGGUAGCGGUGAAAUGCGUAGAUAUCAGGAGGAACACCGGCGGCGAAGGCGGCCUGCUGGACCGCGACUGACGUUGAGGCUCGAAAGCGUGGGGAGCGAACAGGAUUAGAUACCCCGGUAGUC